ensembl:lncRNA
AGACAGAGAAAGAGAGAGAGGGUUAGAGAGACGGAGAAAGAGAGAGAGGGUCAGAGAGACAGAUAGAAAGAGAGAGAGGGUCAGAGAGACAGAGAGAGAGAAAGGGUCAGAGAGACGGAGAACGAGAGAGAGGGUCAGAGAGACGGAGAAAGAGAGAGAGUUUCAGAGAGACAGAUAGAGAGAGAGGGUCAGAGAGACAGAGAGAGAAAGAGAGAGAGGGUCAGAGAGACAGAGAGAGAAAGAGAGAGAGGGUCAGAGAGACAGAUAGAGAGACAGAAAGACAGAAUGACAGAGAGAGUGAGAGAGGGUCAGGGAGACAGACAGAGAGAAAGAAUGAGAGAGAGGGUCAGAGAGACAGAGAGAGAAGGAGACAGAAAGACAGAAUGAGAGACAGAGAGAGAAGGAGACAGAAUGAGAGACAGAGAGAGAAGGAGACAGAAAGACAGAAUGAGAGACAGAAAGAGAAGGAGACAGAAAGACAGAAUGAGAGACAGAAUGAGAGACAGAGAGAAGGAGACAGAAAGACAGAAUGAGAGACAGAGAGAGAGAGAGACAGAAAGACAGAAUGAGAGACAGAGAGAGAAAGAGACAGAAAGACAGAAUGAGAGACAGAAUGAGAGACAGAGAGAAGGAGACAGAAAGACAGAAUGAGAGACAGAAUGAGAGACAGAGAGAAGGAGACAGAAAGACAGAAUGAGAGACAGAAUGAGAGACAGAGAGAAGGAGACAGAAAGACAGAAUGAGAGACAGAAUGAGAGACAGAGAGAAGGAGACAGAAAGACAGAAUGAGAGACAGAGAGAAGGAGACAGAAUGAGAGACCGAGAGAGAAGGAGACAGAAUGAGAGACAGAGAGAAGGAGACAGAAUGAGAGACCGAGAGAGAAGGAGACAGAAUGAGAAGUCGUUUGUUUGUGCUCUACGGUGAAGACGUUGGGGUUCGAGAUGAAAAGCUGGACGUGAGUGUAGGAUUUCAGCUUUUACCUCCUGGCGUUUACAUCUAGACGUCUUUAACGACUUAACACACAGAACCUUUCGGAUCAGACCUCCCAGUGUUUCGGUGAGCAAAAGUAUUGGAACAGAUCAGUCUUGAAGUAAAUGAAAGUAAAU